CAACUUUCAACAACGGAUCUCUUGGUUCUGGCAUCGAUGAAGAACGCAGCGAAAUGCGAUAAGUAGUGUGAAUUGCAGAAUUCAGUGAAUCAUCGAAUCUUUGAACGCACAUUGCGCCCUUUGGUAUUCCAAAGGGCAUGCCUGUUCGAGCGUCAUUUGUACCCUCAAGCUU
rnacentral:rRNA from 1 species